UACGGGGGGAGCAAGCGUUGCUCGGAAUCACUGGGCGUAAAGGGUGCGUAGGCGGGUCUUUAAGUCAGGGGUGAAAUCCUGGAGCUCAACUCCAGAACUGCCUUUGAUACUGAAGAUCUUGAGUUCGGGAGAGGUGAGUGGAACUGCGAGUGUAGAGGUGAAAUUCGUAGAUAUUCGCAAGAACACCAGUGGCGAAGGCGGCUCACUGGCCCGAUACUGACGCUGAGGCACGAAAGCGUGGGAGCAACAGG
rnacentral:rRNA from 1 species